GAUUGUGGCUCAGUGGUAAAAGCGCUUGCCUGGCAUGUGUGGGGCACUGGGUUCAAUUCUCAGCACUGCA
rnacentral:tRNA from 1 species